AGGAUCUAGCAAUAGAUUGCUGACGACCGGCGCACGGGUGAGUAACACGUAUCCAACCUGCCGAUAACUCGGGGAUAGCCUUUCGAAAGAAAGAUUAAUACCCGAUGGUAUAAUAAAACCGCAUGGUUUUGUUAUUAAAGAAUUUCGGUUAUCGAUGGGGAUGCGUUCCAUUAGGCAGUUGGUGAGGUAACGGCUCACCAGACCUUCGAUGGAUAGGGGUUCUGAGAGGAAGGUCCCCCACAUUGGAACUGAGACACGGUCCAAACUCCUACGGGAGGCAGCAGUGAGGAAUAUUGGUCAAUGGGCGUAAGCCUGAACCAGCCAAGUAGCGUGAAGGAUGACUGCCCUAUGGGUUGUAAACUUCUUU
rnacentral:rRNA from 1 species